rnacentral:lncRNA from 1 species
AGGCAAUCCAAACCACGUGACCUCUGGUUGGCACACAAACUAACAAAGAGGUUAUGUUUGCAUCUAUUUUUCAAUGAUUUUUCAUUGUUUAUCGUCGUAUUUUGGAUUCAUUUGGAUUUCGUUUCCUGUUUUUGUGAACUUUAUAAACUUUACCACAAUGCAAACUGAUUAUUUAAGGAAAUUAUUAUUGGAAACUCCAGAUGUUGCGAGAAAGGUAGGCGAAACAAUUUUUUUUACUGUUCAUUUUGCCCCGAUAUUUAUCAAUAAUGAUGAAUUUUGCAAGCAAUAACAUUAUUUCUUUUAUUGUUCUAGAUAUUUAUUGAAGCUGAAAAUAAUUGGGGAUUUAGAUCCAUACGCAAUUCAGUCAGAAUUGGAUUUUACAGUAAAGUGCAGUCCAUCAAGUUACUAGAGUAGAGUAGAGUAGAGUAUUUAUUGGUAAUAAUGUACAAAUGUACUUUUACAGGUCAGCAAUAAUUAAAAUUGUCUAAAAUUACAUUAAAAGUUGACAGUACUUCAGUAAAAAAAACCUAUUACUAAAAUUUAAAAACUAAACACUAAUUAAAUUACAGGACAAAACAAAAUUUAGAUCUGAAGUACUCCUCAAAUGAGUAGAAAGCACCCAUCAGAAGAUAAUUUUUAAUUUGUCUCUUAAAUUGGUUAAAAUCAAGACUUUUAAUAGAUAUUGGUAUACAGUUAUAAAAUUUCAAUGCUAGGUAUCUGGUUCCAUUUCUGGUCCUCUCAAGUCGACUGAAGUCUGGUACAAGGGCAUCAUGAUUUCUAGUCUGAUAAGUAUGCUGUUGUGUUUUAUAUAGAUCUACAUUUUGAUGAACAUACAACAGGCACUGCAUAAUGUACACAGACGGUAGUGUGAGAAUCCUCAGGUUUCUGAAAGACUGCCUACAAUCGUCCCGAUAACCCUGACCUGUGAUUAUGCGAAUACACUUUCUCUGCUGACCAAACACCUUAUCUAUAUGGCAAGAGUGUCCCCAGGAAAGGAUUGCGUAAGUUAGUCGUGAGUGAAAGUUGCUGUGAUAUGAUGUAAGAAGGGUUUGAAGGGAGGUAACCUUAGAUAGGUUUCUAAAUAAAAAGAGUUGGAUUGAGAGCUUUUGGGAAAGUUUCAGUAUGUGCCGUUCCCAAGUGAGUUCCUGAUCAAGAUUCUACUAUUAUAGAUAUUUAUACAUAUCUGGUGGAAUCUGAUAUGUCACAGUUGCUACUCUAAGCAGCAGAUGAAAGCAUACAAAAGCCUUCAGGCACAUAAAUAUUUUACAGCUGGAUUUGUUUUGAAUGGAGUAAAAAUUGUUAAUGAUUUCCUGAUUUCCAUAUUAUUGUCGGAAAGGUGAAGCAUUUCCAAAAAUCUAAUGCUAAACGACUAAAUGCUUGGGUGGGGUGAUAGCCAGUUCUGAUGACAUAGCAAAUUUACAUUGUAUGCGUAUGGCCGGUAAUAGUGAAGUCUGCAGCCAUAUUGCAGCAAUCCUAUUUUUAGCUUAGUAUGCUCAGGGCAAGACACACGAAGAAGAACCCAAUGUAUGUACAUAUGUUACAGCUACAUGGUUUGGAGAUAGCAACAUAUGCAUUCUCUGAUGAAAAACUAAUGAGUUUUGAAACUGUUCAGUCAGAGUGCUUGUUGCGCUCACUAAACGAAUUGAAAUAUAAGAUGGCUUUGGCAUUGUGUUGCAGCGAUAUGAAAAUGGUUAUUCAUUUUUAAUUAUAAUGUUCUUCUUCAUCAUGAGUAAUUAUGUAUUGGUCUUUUAAAUGUGUAUUUAUUUUUGUAAUUAGUAUCAACUUGUAAUGAUAAUAUACAUUUAUCGUUUAAGGUAUGACUAUGUUUUGACUCUAAAAUAAAUGUUUUAAAAAUCGAA